GCCUCAUUGGCUCAGUCAGUAGAGCAUAUGAUUCUUGAUCUUGGGGUCAUGAGUUCAAGCCUCAUGUUUGGUG
rnacentral:tRNA from 1 species